rnacentral:rRNA from 1 species
UGAGGAAUCUUGGACAAUGGGCGCAAGCCUGAUCCAGCCAUGCCGCGUGAGUGAUGAAGGCCUUAGGGUUGUAAAGCUCUUUUGGCGGGGAUGAUAAUGACCGUACCCCGCAGAAAUAAGCCACGGCUAAAUUCGUGCCAGCAGCCGCGGUAAUACGAAUGUGGCAAGCGUUGUUCGGAAUCACUGGGCGUAAAGAGUACGUAGGCGGCUUGACAAGUCAGGAGUGAAAUCCCCGGGCUCAACCUGGGAAUUGCUUUUGAAACUGUCUCGCUAGAAAUCUCGGAGAGGUUGCGGAAUUCCAAGUGUAGAGGUGAAAUUCGCAGAUAUUUGGAGGAACACCAGUGGCGUAAGCGGCCAACUGGACGAGUAUUGACGCUGAGGUACGAAAGCGUGGGGAUC